rnacentral:snRNA from 1 species
GUGCUCACUUCUGCAGCACAUAUACUAAAAUUGGAACCAUACAGAGAAGAUUAGCAUGGCCCCUGCACAAGGAUGACACACAAAUUCGUGAAGCGUUCCAUAUUUUU